rnacentral:rRNA from 1 species
UGGGGAAUCUUCCGCAAUGGACGAAAGUCUGACGGAGCAACGCCGCGUGAGUGAUGACGGCCUUCGGGUUGUAAAGCUCUGUUAAUCGGGACGAAUGGUUCUUGUGCGAAUAGUGCAAGGAUUUGACGGUACCGGAAUAGAAAGCCACGGCUAACUACGUGCCAGCAGCCGCGGUAAUACGUAGGUGGCAAGCGUUGUCCGGAAUUAUUGGGCGUAAAGCGCGCGCAGGCGGAUUGGUCAGUCUGUCUUAAAAGUUCGGGGCUUAACCCCGUGAUGGGAUGGAAACUGCCAAUCUAGAGUAUCGGAGAGGAAAGUGGAAUUCCUAGUGUAGCGGUGAAAUGCGUAGAUAUUAGGAAGAACACCAGUGGCGAAGGCGACGUUCUGGACGAAAACUGACGCUGAGGCGCGAAAGCCAGGGGAGCGAACGGG